CUUUGAUGAUGUAGACAGCAUGAAGCUGAAGAACUGCACCCAUCUCGAAGGUGGAAAUAGCUGCCAUGUCCAUGUGUGCAGAGUCGGUCCAGGCUGUCUUGGCACUGAGUGCCUCACUCCAGCCCCCGCACCUUCGCAGGCAGGCACAAGGAAACUGAGAUUCGAAGAAGGAAGUGAAGCCCCUGGUAUCUCAAACACAUAAGGAGGAGGAAGAGGAGACGGCAGAAGGUACCCCACGUCAGUGCUCGAUCAAGCUCUAGCACUUAUUGGAGGAUGUUAACAAAGGCUCAGCAUGGAGUUUAACCUAAUGCCAACCUGAGAGUUGGGUCAUGACCUCAGAGAGAGAGAGAACUGAGUGG
rnacentral:lncRNA from 1 species